rnacentral:rRNA from 1 species
UACGGAGGGUGCGAGCGUUGUUCGGAAUUACUGGGCGUAAAGCGCGUGCAGGCGGUCGAUUAAGUCCGGUGUGAAAGCCCGGGGCUCACCCCCGGAAGUGCGCUGGAAACUAAUCAACUAGAGUACGGGAGAGGGAAGUGGAAUUCCUGGUGUAGCGGUGAAAUGCGUAGAUAUGUGGAGGAACACCGAUGGCGAAGGCAGCCCCCUGGGGUAACACUGACGCUCAUGCACGAAAGCGUGGGGAGCAAACAGG